CCUACGGGUGGCAGCAGUGGGGAAUAUUGCACAAUGGGGGAAACCCUGAUGCAGCGACGCCGCGUGAGUGAAGAAGGAAUUCGUUAUGUAAAGCUCUAUCAGCAGGGAAGAAAAUGACGGUACCUGAGUAAGAAGUCCCGGCUAACUACGUGCCAGCAGCCGCGGGAAUACGUAGGGGGAAAGCGUUAACCGGAUUUACUGGGUGUAAAGGGAGCGUAGACGGCAGUGCAAGUCUGGAGUGAAAGGCGGGGGCUCAACCCCCGGACUGCACCGGAGACUGUACGGCUGGAGUGCAGGAGAGAUAAGUGGAAUUCCUAGUGUAGCGGUGAAAUGCGUAGAUAUUAGGAGGAACACCAGUGGCGAAGGCGGCUUACUG
rnacentral:rRNA from 1 species